UGACACAGGGAGGUAGUGUCAAGAAAUAACAAUACGGGGCUUAAAGUCUUGUAAUUGGAAUGAUGGGAAUUUAAACCUCUUCCAGAGUAUCAAUUGGAGGGCAAGUCUGGUGCCAGCAGCCGCGGUAAUUCCAGCUCCAAUAGCGUAUAUUAAAAUUGUUGCAGUUAAAAAGCUCGUAGUUGAAUUUCUGCUGCAUUGCUUGUGUCCCUCUGGGGUCUGUGCAUGUGGCUUUUUUCGGACGGAGUUUCUUUGUCUGAAUGUUUACUUUGAGAAAAUUAGAGUGCUCAAAGCAGGCUUUCGCCUUGAAUAGUUUAGCAUGGAAUAAUAAAGUAGGACUUUGGUUCUAUUUUGUUGGUUUUAGGUACCAACAGUAAUGGUAAUAGGAACAGUAGGACAUUCGUCC
rnacentral:rRNA from 1 species